CGCGGCGGUGGCGGCGGGCGUCGCCGGGCGCUACAAGCGCGCGGCCGCGGCGCUGCUGGACGCGCUGCUGGCGGCCCCGUCGCCGCUCGGCGCGGC
rnacentral:tRNA from 1 species